rnacentral:rRNA from 1 species
AGAGUUUGAUCCUGGCUCAGGACGAACGCUGGCGGCGUGCUUAACACAUGCAAGUCGAACGAUGAAGCCCAGCUUGCUGGGUGGAUUAGUGGCGAACGGGUGAGUAACACGUGAGUAACCUGCCCUUGACUCUGGGAUAAGCCUUGGAAACGAGGUCUAAUACCGGAUAGGAGCACUCAUCGCAUGGUGGGUGUUGGAAAGAAUUUCGGUCAUGGAUGGACUCGCGGCCUAUCAGCUUGUUGGUGGGGUAAUGGCCUACCAAGGCGACGAUCAGUAGCUGGUCCGAGAGGAUGAUCAGCCACACUGGGACUGAGACACGGCCCAGACUCCUACGGGAGGCAGCAGUGGGGAAUCUUGCGCAAUGGGCGAAAGCCUGACGCAGCGACGCCGCGUGAGCGAUGAAGCCCUUCGGGGUGUAAAGCUCUUUCGGCCGGAACGAAAUCGUCCGGGCUAAUACCCCGGAUGGAUGACGGUACCGGAAGAAGAAGCACCGGCUAACUACGUGCCAGCAGCCGCGGUAAUACGUAGGGCGCGAGCGUUAUCCGGAAUUAUUGGGCGUAAAGAGCUCGUAGGCGGCUUGUCGCGUCGAAUGUGAAAUCCCGUGGCUCAACUGCGGGUCUGCAUUCGAUACGGGCAGGCUAGAGUUCGGUAGGGGAGACUGGAAUUCCUGGUGUAGCGGUGAAAUGCGCAGAUAUCAGGAGGAACACCGAUGGCGAAGGCAGGUCUCUGGGCUGUAACUGACGCUGAGGAGCGAAAGCAUGGGGAGCGAACAGGAUUAGAUACCCUGGUAGUCCACGCCGUCAACGAUGAGGGUUCGCCCUUGGUCGAGACAGACCUUCCCCGGGUCCGAUCGGGGGCCAAGCUCACGCGUUAAGCACUCCGCCUGGGGAGUCUUAUCGCAAGAUUGAAACUCAAAGGAAUUGACGGGGGCCUGCGCAAGCGGUGGAGCAUGUGGUUUAAUUCGAUACUACGCGCAGCACCUUACCG